rnacentral:rRNA from 1 species
UACGGGGGGGGCAAGCGUUGUUCGGAAUUACUGGGCGUAAAGGGCUCGUAGGCGGCCAACUAAGUCGGACGUGAAAUCCCCAGGCUCAACCUGGGAACUGCGUCUGAUACUGGAUGGCUUGAAUCCGGGAGAGGGAUGCAGAAUUCCAGGUGUAGCGGUGAAAUGCGUAGAUAUCUGGAGGAAUACCGGUGGCGAAGGCGGCAUCCUGGACCGGCAUUGACGCUGAUGAGCGAAAAGCUAGGGGGAGCAAACGGGG